GGCAGCACAGAAAAUCAAUGAGGAAGUGGUCUUUAGUGAGUUCAGGUCACUAAACUCAGACUAAUUACAACCAAGAGUACCGAAAGAACUGGCAGAUAUGAUUAGUGAGUCACUGGGGUGAUCUUUGAAAGAUGUUUCAGAAUGUAAAUAGUUCCUCCCAGACAAGAUGGCUGCCUGGAUGGAGGUAAAUCACUGGGAAGUUUAUACUAGACUGAAUGAGAAUGGAUAAAUCCAAUUAGAAACCAUAGUAAGUGACUUAUUUUCCCCCAGAACUCCACAAAAAGUUAGCCAGAAGCCUACAAGAGAUAAGAGGAAAAAGCAGAGACAACAACGGUAUAACCAAAUAAGCCAGUAAGCUGCCAGUCACACCAGAGACCUCCAAAGUUCUGUGUCUGAGACAGAAAAAUUAAAGUCCCAGAGGAGUCAGAAAUCUCAGGAUGAUCAGUUAUCCCCAAGGCAUUUACAAACCCAUGAUGGGAGACCUUUGAAGCUUUCAGAAAUGGGAGCAACCAGUGUGACAUGGAACCCAAGAGUUUUGAGGUGCCUGGUACCAUGCCAUAGAGGGCAGAAGAUGAGCAUUCUGAAACUCAAAGAGUCAGAGUGGCUCAAUUCUAGGUAGUGUGAAGUUCAGCUCAGGUGAUCAGGACUGACUAGCGCCUGGCCUUGAGGAAUAAAAACUGGAGAGAUAAGUAAGCUAAAAAAGACAAAAACCAGUAUUUUAAACGUCAUAGAGAUCUCCAAAAAUCCAGGCCAGAAGAAGAAAUUAAUUCUAUAAAAACUGCAAUAAGAGACUGAAUAGAAAAAAUAGGUUUUCUGAAAGAUACAUGGGUAUCUCAAAGAAAGAAAUAGGUUAAAAAAAAAAAAAAAAAAGAAAUUAAAACCCAGAAGGGAGGAAUUAGAAGGAGAAUAAAUAGUGGUGAUCAUUAUCAGUGACUCUAUGAGCCAUCCAGAAAAAUUAGAACAAAAUCAAAAUAAUGAAAAAAUAGAAAAACAUAAGAUGACUGAGGUAAAAAAAAAAAAAAAAAAAAAAAAAAAACUUACCUAAAAAAAAGAAAAGGUUGAUGAGAAGGAAUUUAAGAAUCAUUGAACUCACUGAAAGGCAUGAUUAAAAAUAAAGACGACUAUACUUUGAGAAAACACAAAUAAAAACUGCUCGGGUCUAUUAGAACUAAAAGUCAAAGUGAAUAUAGAAAAAACAAUUUCCCAAUCACCUCCUGAAAGAAACUCCAAAAAGAAAAAUCCUCGAAUGGCAAAAGCCAGAGCUUUCAGAUCAAAGAAAAAAUUCCAUACACAUCCUGAAAGAAGCUACCAAAGAUCCAUUAACUUAUCAGAUAAGGCCUGGAACCUUCUACUAUGGAGAAAGAUUGAAAUACAAUAUCCUAAAAGGCAAAGACUAUAGGGAGGUUUUAAUUUUAAUUUCAUCUUACAGGGGGAAAAUGAACUUUAUGGAAUAGAAGACUAAAGAACUUCUGAUGGAAGAUCAGAGUUCAGUGAGAACUUUGAAAUGUAAAUUCAAGAGUCAAGGGAAACCUAGAAAGCUUUGCCCACUGUCUUAUGAUCCUAGAAAAACUUCUAUCCUUCCCACUCCUUACCCAUCCCUUGAUCCUGAGCUCUACUUUUCAGAAACCAUUUUUUCAGGAAAGUCUUAACCAAUCAGUUUUACUUCACUCCUACUCAUGCCAGAUUAAUCUGAUUACAUUUUGUGGUAGGGUAAGUAGUGAGCAGAGGAAUGUUGUAGACAUAUUCUCUUUGGAUUUCAUGUAAAUAUUCUCCUACUAGGUGUUAAUAGUGUACAUUAAUGCACAAAGAUAGUUAUGAGUCAUUUUGACCUGGAAAGAGGUAGGAGUUGAAAUUAUUUUGUAAGAAAUAAGAGUCUCCCACUAUCCUUGUGAACAAGAUGGAGAGAUGAAAACCAGAUAACAGUACAGUUGAGUCAAUUGACUAGAUCCAAAGAUCAGUGCCAUUUAUGUGUUGAUAACUAACUGGAGGCAACAUGUAGAUAGCAUGCUUGUCAAAUCUGCAGCUAGUGUGAACUUGAAAGGAAUAACUAACCCAAUGAAUUUCAGUUCAGAAUUCAAAAAGAUCUCUGCAG
rnacentral:lncRNA from 1 species